UCGGCUUAGAGUUUGAUCAUGGCUCAGGACGAACGCUGGCGGCGUGCCUAAUACAUGCAAGUCGAACGAAGAGGAGCUUGCUCCUUUUAGUGGCGGACGGGUGAGUAACACGUGGGUAACCUGCCUCACAGCUGGGGAUAACAUCGAGAAAUCGAUGCUAAUACCGAAUGUGCUGAAAUCAUAAGAUUUCAAGUGAAAGACGUUCGUGUCACUGUGAGAUGGACCCGCGCUGGAUUAGCUAGUUGGUAAGGUAAUGGCUUACCAAGGCGACGAUCCAUAGCCGACCUGAGAGGGUGAUCGGCCACAUUGGGACUGAGACACGGCCCAAACUCCUACGGGAGGCAGCAGUAGGGAAUCUUCGGCAAUGGACGAAAGUCUGACCGAGCAACGCCGCGUGAGCGAAGAAGGCCUUCGGGUCGUAAAGCUCUGUUGUUAGAGAAGAACAAGGGUGAGGUAAUUCACCCCUUGACGGUAUCUAACCAGAAAGCCACGGCUAACUACGUGCCAGCAGCCGCGGUAAUACGUAGGUGGCAAGCGUUGUCCGGAAUUAUUGGGCGUAAAGCGCGCGCAGGCGGUCUCUUAAGUCUGAUGUGAAAGCCCCCGGCUCAACCGGGGAGGGUCAUUGGAAACUGGGAGACUUGAGGACAGAAGAGGAGAGUGGAAUUCCAAGUGUAGCGGUGAAAUGCGUAGAUAUUUGGAGGAACACCAGUGGCGAAGGCGGCUCUCUGGUCUG
rnacentral:rRNA from 1 species